UACAGAGGUCCCAAGCGUUGUUCGGAUUCACUGGGCGUAAAGGGUGCGUAGGCGGUCGGGUAAGUCUGAUGUGAAAUCUCACAGCUUAACUGUGAAACUGCAUUGGAUACUAUCCGGCUCGAGGAAUGGAGGGGAGACUGGAAUUCCUGGUGUAGCAGUGAAAUGCGUAGAUAUCAGGAGGAAUACCGAUGGCGAAGGCAGGUCUCUGGGCUGACACUGACGCUCAUGCACGAAAGCGUGGGGAGCAAACAGG
rnacentral:rRNA from 1 species